UAUUUCAUUUGAGUAAGUUUUGCUUCUUAUAAUACUUGUACUAAGCUUUUAACUAUGAUUGUUUCCCUUUGAUAAAUCAGGUUAUUUGCAAAUACUGUGCCGAGUGAGAAGGAUCCUCUGCUUGGAGUGAAUUUGGAGAAAAAUGUGGCUUUAAAGUAGGAUGCAGCCCACGGUGUAAUGCUUGCACAAAAUUCUGUCUAGGAGAGCAUGACAGGCUGUCUAAUUGAUGAGGACUCAAUUGAGGAAUAUGAAAAGGUGGCAAAGGAAAAGAGGAAGGAGAAAUUGGAGCAACAUGAAGGAGUGGAGUUAAAUUUUCUCAGGAAACUUGGUCAUGUCCAAAAGAUUGAGAUUCUGAAUGGCAUUACUGACAUGAAGAAUGAGCUCAGGUCCUUCAUGUUAUUUAGAGUGUAGGCUCGGAAGGAGGUUCACAAUGCUUCACCGGGGAGUUUACAUGGGUCCAUGAUCAAAGCUACCCAACAGGUGUAGGUGCA